rnacentral:rRNA from 1 species
CCUACGGGAGGCAGCAGUGAGGAAUAUUGGUCAAUGGGCGCGAGCCUGAACCAGCCAAGUAGCGUGAAGGAUGACUGCCCUACGGGUUGUAAACUUCUUUUAGAAAGGAAUAAAGUGAGGCACGGGUGCCUUUUUGUAUGUACUUUAUGAAUAAGGAUCGGCUAACUCCGUGCCAGCAGCCGCGGUAAUACGGAGGAUCCGAGCGUUAUCCGGAUUUAUUGGGUUUAAAGGGAGCGUAGAUGGUUUGUUAAGUCAGUUGUGAAAGUUUGCGGGUCAAACGUAAAAUUGCAAUUGAAACUGGCAGCCUUGAGUACAGGUGAGGUAGGCGGAAUUCGUGGGGGAGCGGUGAAAUGCUUAGAUAUCACGAAGAACUCCGAUUGCGAAGGCAGCCUACUAAACUGCCACUGACAUUGAUGCUCGAAAGUGUGGGUAUCAAACAGGAUUAGAUACCCCGGUAGUC